rnacentral:snoRNA from 1 species
CCUCCUUUUCUUGGCGGGGUUCGGGCAUGCGGUCCCGGUCCCCAUAAUGUACGGAGGCAGAGGGAGAGGGCUCCGGCCCCCUCAGCGUCAUGUCUUCGGUGCUGCUGACGGUUGCCAGUUCGCCGGUUCUAUCACCAGCCAGCGCUGGGGACCAU